UUCGCCGCUUCGUAUGAGCGAUAUUCAUGGUUCCAUAUUAUCAUGUGGCAUCCUGUAUCAAGUCUUGCCUGCUCCCGUAUAAACCCAUACACCCGUUUGCAAUUAUUGUACGCACUGCGUGGGUCGUUUUUAAUGCAGGAAUCUCCCUGUAAAAGAAGCUAUUCAUAACGCUAAUCUCAUUUUUUUUAUUGAUUGUACGUUGCCGCGGGCCAUUUCAACAUGUUUUCACCAAGUGUUGUUCCAAUGUACCUUUCAUACCGACCACCUCACUCUACUGAAGCCUACUUCUAAGCCACCGGCGAUCUUGGUCGGCAAGAAUGACAAAAUCUACAACACUGCAUCAUUCCGACGCGAAAGUGUUGUCAUUGUUUACACGUGCAGCCAGUUCAACGUAAUUUCUGUGCCAUCCUGCCAAGCUUUCAUGCGGACACACACCCCCGUCUCUAUGUCUGUUGUGCGAAUUCGUUGCACUGCAGACCUUCCUUGCGGAGGCAUCUACACUUCUCAAUCGAUGACGGACGCAAUUACUAGCAAUUCUUUCUGUCAGGUAAAGCUGCUUACGUGGGAUCUGAACCCGGUGGAAACUUGGCGACUGGCAGUGGGAGUGUGAACGUGGAAGCAAUAAAUAUGUUUUGAUGGUGUGUGGCUAUAGAGGUCGUUUAAGACGUGCAGAGUGGAGUCCCUGUGGCAGGCAAUCACGCUACGCAGUGCGCAGCGUUGGCUAGGCUCAGUAUCACUUCGUCCACUCUGCGUUCAUUGAAACAAUGGGUUCACGUCUGCCCGUAGGGUUUUAGUGAAGUACGUAUAUGGUCACGAUAAACCCUUAAGCCGCGUCGUACACAUUAACAUACGUGAUUUGCUUUCCGGUACGUGAGUAGCCUUCCGGUACUGUCUUUGUGGGCCUGCGACUUUCUGGGCUGAUGAACCCUCACCCCGGCCCUCCUCUCCCCCCUACUCUCUCCAUCUCACUGUCUUCGGGAAUGCUACCAUAGAGAAAGACAUUCAACAAGAGGGGACAUUCGGCAAAGGCUUGCAGCAGGAAACACGUCACGCCUAGUGUCAACACCAUCCGUUAGUUGACGCGAGCAUCGAAAGAAAAAAUAAGUGAAAUGAACUUACAGAUAUUUCAUUCUUUUAUUCUUUCCGGCUAAAACUAAGCAGGUUUGCGUAUAAAUGAACUUAUAAUUUGAGACUCAUUUUCCUUGCGUUACCUAGCAACAAGCUAGCGACACGCCAGACGUGCCAUAUGCAUGCGUCAUUCGCCAGACAUGCCACAGAAGCGAGCGAGGCCAGCUGCGCAUGUGAAGCUCGCCUGCUCGGCGACCCGUCUCUUUUGAAUGUAGCUCGUUUGUUGAGUCCCCGGUUUUUUCUCGCGUUCCUUCUGCAUUUCGAGAUGGCACCACUGCACCACUGGACUGCAGCAAGCUGAUGCCGGUCCGGUGCAGCUUCGUACUAGAACUGCUGCUGCUUACCUGGUGUCGCAACGUUGGGUGAACGCACAAAAAGCCCGGACGAGCAUUUACAUAGAGCGAAAUAAACAUUUCCUCAUUUA